rnacentral:rRNA from 1 species
ACUUAACUUGGAGUCCGAACUCUCACUUUCUAACCCUGUGCAUUUGUUUGGGAUAGUAACUCUCGCAAGAGGGCGAACUCCUAUUCACUUAUAAACACAAAGUCUAUGAAUGUAUUAAAUUUUAUAACAAAAUAAAACUUUCAACAACGGAUCUCUUGGCUCUCGCAUCGAUGAAGAACGCAGCGAAAUGCGAUAAGUAAUGUGAAUUGCAGAAUUCAGUGAAUCAUCGAAUCUUUGAACGCACCUUGCGCUCCAUGGUAUUCCGUGGAGCAUGCCUGUUUGAGUGUCAUGAAUACUUCAACCCUCCUCUUUCUUAAUGAUUGAAGAGGUGUUUGGUUUCUGAGCGCUGCUGGCCUUUAAGGUCUAGCUCGUUCGUAAUGCAUUAGCAUCCGCAAUCGAACUUCGGAUUGACUUGGCGUAAUAGACUAUUCGCUGAGGAAUUCUAGUCUUCGGACUAAAGCCGGGUUGGGUUAAAGGAAGCUUCUAAUCAAAAUGGCCACAUUUUAAGAAUAGAUCUCAAAUCAGGUAGGAAUACCCGCGGAACUUAAGCAUAUCAAUAAGC